rnacentral:sRNA from 1 species
AGAUGUGAGGACGAUCUGGCUGCGACACUGUCACCCCAUUGAUCGCCAGGGUUGAUUCGGCUGAUCUGGCUGACUAGGUGGGUUUCCCCCUCCUCCCUCACUGCUCCAUGUGUGUCCCUCCCAAAGAUGUGCACUCAGUCGAAGAGGACGACCACCCCCGAUAGAGGAGGACCAUUUCCUCGGUCAAGGUAUAUGAGAACACUUUGUGGCCCUGGUAUGGUGCCUGUAGGGCUCAAAGGGCAAGCGGACGCCUCUCCAG